rnacentral:misc_RNA from 1 species
AAAACAAUCAACCUUGGUUUUGGGGCAACCCUCGAUCUCGGCUUGGACUUGGGCGUUUGCCAUCUUCACGGGUGGCUCGCCUCAAAUGAAUUAGCUGGACCUGUUUGUGAGGAAUGGUUCUACUCGGCGUAAUAAGUAUUUCGCUGAGGACAUGGCUUCGGCUGUGGCCUUCUUCUCGACGAUCGUCUGCUUUCAAACCCUGUUCUCCUCGGAGACGCACUUUUUAUG